CAACCAUGAUGUGGACAGGAAUUCAAGAGAUCCUUGAAUCUCUCCCAACAUUGGAAGAAGGUUUCUUCCUCUUUUUGGGCAAAAUUCAUGAUCGCCCUCCUUAAGGUG